CAGCCGCCGCGGUAAAACGUAGGUGGCAAGCGUUGUCCGGAAUUAUUGGGCGUAAAGGGCUCGCAGGUGGUUUCUUAAGUCUGAUGUGAAAGCCCCCGGCUCAACCGGGGAGGGUCAUUGGAAACUGGGAAACUUGAGUGCAGAAGAGGAGAGUGGAAUUCCACGUGUAGCGGUGAAAUGCGUAGAGAUGUGGAGGAACACCAGUGGCGAAGGCGACUCUCUGGUCUGUAACUGACGCUGAGGAGCGAAAGCGUGGGGAGCGAACAGGAUUAGAUACCCCCGUAGUCCCUGUCUCUUAUAU
rnacentral:rRNA from 1 species